rnacentral:rRNA from 1 species
UACGUAGGGUGCAAGCGUUGUCCGGAAUUAUUGGGCGUAAAGAGCUUGUAGGCGGUUUGUCGCGUCUGCUGUGAAAUUUCGGGGCUCAACCCCGGACUUGCAGUGGGUACGGGCAGACUAGAGUGUGGUAGGGGAGACUGGAAUUCCUGGUGUAGCGGUGAAAUGCGCAGAUAUCAGGAGGAACACCGAUGGCGAAGGCGGCUCUCUGGGACGGUACUGACGCUGAGACGGCGAAAGCGUGGGGAGCGAACAGG